AUCUCCACGAGAGGUCUCUGCAGACACAGCUACCGCAGCAGGACCAGGCUGUUGAGCCCUUCUGGGCUUAGGCACAGAAAGCACCUGGCCACUGCUAUUGCCCAGUCUCUGGGACCAAGGACUCCAGCUCCUGGGUGAUUCAGCACCUCUCAGAUGGACCUGUCCCAGCCCUGCAGACCCACAGAACAAUUAUCAGAGGAGUUUUCUCUCUGAAGAGACGUGGCAGGGAUGAAGCUGGGGACAGAAGCCUUGGCUAAACUGGACACACUUCAGGAUUUAUACCAGCCUGGAAUAAUGCCUAGAUUUUAUUUGCAAUCUUUACCAUCAGGUUGGCUAUGGAAGGAAGGGUGGAGCUGACCCACAGACAGACCCGGAUGGAAGAGCAGUCCUGGUUGUAAAUGUGAAGAUCUGCAUGACUCAGCACAGUGCUAAUGAAGAUUGGCUAAUCUCCUGCUUUCUGACCUUUAUUAUUCUUGACCAGACACUUCAGGUAUUUAAAAGGCCAAGAUUCUGCUGUCCUCGGGAUUAAUUGAUGCAGUCAGGAGAAAUCAGUUGGCAAAGAAUUUAGUAAUCCUGUUAGAUUUUUUUAUAUUCUGACCCUUUGUAGAUUUUAAAAGCAUUAAUCCAUAAUAUUUGGAGGCUCACAGUAUCUUCUAAUAUGCUUCAAAUUUCAGACAUAUGUGAAUUAAGUCAUAUUUAUUUCAUUACUAGGAGAGAGAGACAUACUUUUGUUUGCAGAUGAAAAG
rnacentral:lncRNA from 1 species